rnacentral:misc_RNA from 1 species
ACAUCCUCCAUUCGAUGCUGCUUCUUUAUUGUUCUUUCAUCAAACUCUAUAUCAUCGUCGUCCUCGUCUUUUUCGUCGUCGAACGAUGCCUCCGUGGAAUUUGAGACUCCUGAAUAAAAGCUCAGGCGUAAUGCGCAGCUUCGAUUUCACGGUGAAGGUGACGGCGGAAGCCUUCUUUUUGGGGUUGACAGUAGAGAUAGCCCCGAUGAGGGAAUCCAGCCGAUAAUAGAACGGCCAUUUGGACGGACGAGGUUUAGCUUUCUCGAGCUUAUACUUCUUCUUUAACAUAUCGAUUUGGUUCUUGCACUGGACGUCCGUUUUCCGUGACUCGACGUCUUUUGGACGGCCGUUGACUCUGUCGGCCACUUCCUUCGAGUCCUUCUGACGGAGAUUUCCGCGGUUUAGAUUUAAUGUAACAUUCUCCCCAUGCCUCUAUCAGAGUUUCCGUUGCCUCACAGCCGACGCCUCCGCCGAAUGCGGGGGAGUGGGUGGAG